GGAUCCUGAAAAUACAAACCAUUCAAAUAUUUAGUCUCGGUGAAAAUAUGAUAAAAAUUAAAAAAUUAAAAAUAAAAUAAAAUAAAGUAAAUGCAAAAAAGUAAAACAAGGUAAGAAAACCAUGGGUUGCCUCCCACGCAGCGCUUGUUUAACGUCAUUAGCUUGACGAUCGGAAUUUAUACACCUGUAGUAGGGAUCGAUGGAUCAAUCAGAGUGUGGCUUGAGUAGUCCGUUGGAAU
rnacentral:lncRNA from 1 species